AGUGGUGUGGCUCAGUGGUAGAGUGCAUGCCUCCCAUGUAUGGUGCCUAGAUUCAGCCCCUAGCACUGCAU
rnacentral:tRNA from 1 species